UACGAAGGGGGCUAGCGUUGCUCGGAAUCACUGGGCGUAAAGGGUGCGUAGGCGGGUCUUUAAGUCAGGGGUGAAAUCCUGGAGCUCAACUCCAGAACUGCCUUUGAUACUGAAGAUCUUGAGUACGGGAGAGGUGAGUGGAACUGCGAGUGUAGAGGUGAAAUUCGUAGAUAUUCGCAAGAACACCAGUGGCGAAGGCGGCUCACUGGCCCGUUACUGACGCUGAGGCACGAAAGCGUGGGGAGCAAACAGGG
rnacentral:rRNA from 1 species